rnacentral:ncRNA from 1 species
AGCAGACUUUAGGGGUGUCCUGUAAAACUUUAUAGGGCUGAGAUUUACCCUUUGAACCUGAUGCAGUUCAUACUGCCGUAGGGAAAAGUGAAGAUAAGCCG